rnacentral:sRNA from 1 species
ACUCACAGCUAAAAAAUCUGCCCUUUAAAAUGUCUCCUCACGAAGUAGGAAGCGCCACUUUUGACCGUGUGUGCUGACAUGGUUUUUGAUCUGGGAAAGAGGGUGAGGAGCCGACUGGAAGCAUCACUUUCUGGGAUGUCAGAGUCUCCUUGGAAGAGUUCUAAUUAAGGACUCAGAAUGAUUGACAGGUGGUGGAAGCUCAAGAAAGCACACUUGAUACGCAGCAGAAGACAGUCUCUGAGUUGCAAAAAACCUGGCAAUUGGAGACCUUGAAAAACUUUUAACCAUCAAGACUAGCCUUUUCACUGUAUAGAAAUGAAUCUCCACUUGCUGUUGGCAUUAUCACAGUGACCGGAGUGAUAUGGAAGAGAAGUGAUGUUGGUGCAUCUAAGAGAUUCUCUCUACCCUCAGUUGGGAAUCAACCAGCUCUCUUACACAAGAAAACUUGCCACCAGGUGCUCAUCAGUGGUAACAGCCGGCUACACUCUCUUAAAGAUGCCUACCAUUGGGUUUUUACAGGGAAGCUAGUG